GACGAACGCUGGCGGCGUGCUUAACACAUGCAAGUCGAACGGAAAGGCCCUGCUUUUGUGGGGUGCUCGAGUGGCGAACGGGUGAGUAACACGUGAGUAACCUGCGCUUGACUUUGGGAUAACUUCAGGAAACUGGGGCUAAUACCGGAUAGGAGCUCCUGCUGCAUGGUGGGGGUUGGAAAGUUUCGGCGGUUGGGGAUGGACUCGCGGCUUAUCAGUUUGUUGGUGGGGUAGUGGCUUACCAAGGCUUUGACGGGUAGCCGGCCUGAGAGGGUGACCGGCCACAUUGGGACUGAGAUACGGCCCAGACUCCUACGGGAGGCAGCAGUGGGGAAUAUUGCACAAUGGGCGGAAGCCUGAUGCAGCAACGCCGCGUGCGGGAUGACGGCCUUCGGGUUGUAAACCGCUUUCGCCUGUGACGAAGCGUGAGUGACGGUAAUGGGUAAAGAAGCACCGGCUAACUACGUG
rnacentral:rRNA from 1 species